AGCCACUCUCCCGUCGCCGUCCAAAGAACCACCCAGCCAUCUCCCAAAACCCACCAACCCAGCCACCUCCCAAAAAAAUCCAGUGCCAAUUCAGAUGAUGAAGACAAAUUGGAGGGGAAAAUUUGUAGACACAUGUCCGCCACCUUCUCCUCCCUUCCUUCACCAUGAAUAUCCAAAAACCAAAAAUAAAAAACCCAGAAAAAAAGAGCUUCAUCCAUUGUUUAUAUGUGCUUCCUCAAAUAGUCUGUAAUGGACUCUACAAGCUGUUUCUCUUACAAGUUUAAAAGCUUCUUCAACCUCUAAAGCCAAUUUGAGCACGCGCGAAUCUCACUCUGCAACUCAAAAAAGCUUCUUCAACCUCUAAACCAAAGCCUCGACCUCCAAAGCCUAGUAACGAUGUCGACCGCCAAAGCGAGUAUCAAGAAGCGCAGGACCGAGCCCCAGCUCGCCAAAUCGGACCACCUCGAUCUCGAUUUCUACCUCUCCAAUCAUAUAAAAGGAAUCAUGUCGGCACUGCACCAGAUUUGAGAGAAGGCUCACAAGGGCGGACUUAAGAAGAACAAAGAGACCAUUUCAAGGUGAGCCUCGGUCUGAUCUAGUUUGAUUAUGGCGGAAAUUCGAAUAUCGUUGAGCUGUUUCUUUGCGAUUCGGUGAUUAAUUUGAGCUUCAGCCGGUUAGGUCGUCGUCGACAUCUCCAAUCUCAUCAUCGAAACGUGGGGGUCUAGAUCUAUUGGCUCCAUGUUGUGUCGCAAAUCCCACAUAGAGACGGAGAGAGACGGAGACAUUCAAAUUGAGAGAGAGAGAGGAGGUGACUAGGGUUCUGGUAUUCCA